rnacentral:rRNA from 1 species
AUGGAAAUUCAACAUUAAUAUUAUAAUAUUUAUUUAUAAAUAUUUAUAAAAAUAGUGUGCAAUUUUUCCAUAUAAGGACAUUGUAAUCUGUUAAUGUAAUAAAUAUUUAUCAUAAGAUUCAAUAAAUAAAAGUUUAUUCAAAUUAGUUAUUUUCCGAUUUCUAACAUAGAAUAAAUUUAAUUGAAUUUGAUAAAUCAUUGACAGAUUUAUUUAUAUAUAGUGCUUAAAUUCUUAAUUGAAUUUUACAAUAAUUUAUAAAUGUAUUUUCAUUUAUUUAUUUAUUGUAUGCACUUAUAUGAUUAACAAUGCUAUAGAUUCAGGAUACCUUCGGGACCCGUCUUGAAACACGGACCAAGGAGUCUAACAUAUGUGCAAGUCAUUGGGUAUUUUUAAUAAAACCCAAAGGCAAAAUUAACUUAACUGUUUUAAUGGGAUUAGUUUAUAUUUUAUUAUGAAAUAUUAAUUCAAUCCCGGGGCGUUCUAUAUAGUUAUGUAUAAUAAUAUUUAUAUUAUUUAUGCCUCUAACUAGAGCGUACCUUGAGCAUAUAUGCUGU